CACACUCAAUCACCAAUUCAAUUCAAGCUCCUCCGACAGCACGCUAAACUGAGGGCAUAAUGUGUCCACUUGGGCUAAAAGCCGGUGUUAGGUUGCAGCGCAGUAGCAUCUGCCUAAUAGAUAUUGCAGAGUCUGAACACAAAUGGGCUUCUCUUAGUGUAUGCUGUAUCACUUCUCAGCGCUCACAGUUUCCUGCCAUUGAUCAAGCCCCACCUAUUCAGCUGAUGGGCCAGAGGAGAAACUCGAUCACUUAACAAGAAAGAAGCAGAGGAGAGAGGAAGGAGAAAUUGAGAGCAAUGCCUAAGCCUGGACAUCCUUGAACCUGAAGGGCUUCUGUACAGCAUUGCGACUAAUACACGGUUUCCGGAGCAAUUGGGUUCAGCAUCUCUUAAAGUAUGGACUGAUGAGAGACUGUGACCAGUACAUCCAUCUUGUGUUCUCAAAGACUAGAGAGCCGAACCUGGGUGAGGUCAAUACGGAGUUACUCUCUGUGGGUUAAAGCUGCCUGUGUGAGUGACUAGUGGCAGCUCUAUAAAGGCUUGUGAGAUUGUGCAGGAAAUAGAGGAAACUGGAGUCUGAGGGAGACUGGGAAACUGGGAGGAACCGGUCAGAUUGGGUUUACUGGCCUGUCAGUCUGUCAGUGAUACCCCCACUGCAUCAGUCCGUCAGCACUGCGUAUAGCACACACACACACAGGGCACACGUGCACAGCUUUAAAAAUACCCUUUCGUAACAGAUUUGCAGAUUGCUGUAAAAUUACAUUUUAUAGCUAGAAAACUUUGGAGAAAUACAAUCCAAAAGUGUGGCUGCAUCGAUGAGUGACAGGAUGUUGCGGGAGAAGCAACACCAUGUACACAGAUACCUUUGGUGAUACUGUGAAUGUCUUCCAAUAUACACACUCGCACACACACCCCCACAGCACACUCUCAGGGAUGGUAUUUCGAUACACAGACUGGGCAGUAUGGAGCGCUUUCUGUCUGUGUGGUUUCCUGUGAAAGCCUAGCAGCUGAUUUUACCUUCAACCACAACAAUAGGCCUGACACUAAAUACUCCCAAACAUACACACACAAACACACAUACAGAGAAGAUGAGACGGAGAGUGGGGGAUCAGUUGUGUUACAACUCCAAUAAAUCAGAAUGUUUGUCUAAUUCUAUAGCUGACCCUUUUUUUGGACAUUAAAUCACAUAUUAAACAUUAA